rnacentral:rRNA from 1 species
AUGUGCUUUAUCAAAAGAUUCCUAGAAGAUCUUGAGAUCGUUGAUAAGCGCACUCCCGUGACACAUGCUAGGCGUUUGGAAAGACCUCAGGCAAGAGCUUGGCUACCACCUUCAGGUGAUGCAGCUAAACUGAACUGUGAUGGUGGCCUCUCGACCUUGGGGGGGGGAGGAGCAGCUGGAGUUGUCUAUCGCGAUAAACAUGGGAAAUUUUUAGGCGCGUCCACGGUGGUUUUUGACAGCCUGACUGACCCGGCAAGCUUGGAGGCACAAGCAUGCAGCGAGGCACUAGCCCUCGCACGGGAUCUGAACCUACAGGAGCUACUAAUUGCCUCAGAUUGUGUCGAAGUUAUAUCAAACAUCAACAAGGCAGAAUCACCAUCUUAUGCUCCCAUCCUUAGAGAAAUUCAAACCAGUAAGACAAACUUUGCUUAUGUUACUUUUCGUUUUGAAGGUAGAGUUAAUAAUUUUGAGGCCCACUCGCUUGCUAAGGGAGCUGCGUCUCUCACGGUGGGUCGCCACGUGUGGCUAGGGGUUUGGCCUGAAAUUGUGUGUAUUCCGGAUGUUUUGAACCUUGAAUAA